rnacentral:rRNA from 1 species
AAGCGAUUCAAAUGAAGUUUUCGGAUGGAUUUUGAAUUGACUUAGCGGCGGACGGGUGAGUAACGCGUGGGUAACCUGCCUCAUACAGGGGGAUAACAGUCGGAAACGACUGCUAAUACCGCAUAAGCACACAGUGCCGCAUGGUACAGUGUGAAAAACUCCGGUGGUAUGAGAUGGACCCGCGUCUGAUUAGGUAGUUGGUGAGGUAACGGCCCACCAAGCCGACGAUCAGUAGCCGACCUGAGAGGGUGACCGGCCACAUUGGGACUGAGACACGGCCCAAACUCCUACGGGAGGCAGCAGUGGGGAAUAUUGGACAAUGGGGGAAACCCUGAUCCAGCGACGCCGCGUGAGUGAAGAGGUAUUUCGGUAUGUAAAGCUCUAUCAGCAGGGAAGAAAAUGACGUACCUGACUAAGAAGC